UUAAUAAAGAGUUUGAUCCUGGCUCAGGACGAACGCUGGCGGCACGCCUAACACAUGCAAGUCGAACGGAGUUAUGGAAGCUUGCUUUCAUAACUUAGUGGCGGACGGGUGAGUAACACGUGAGCAACCUGCCCUUGAGAGGGGGAUAGCUUCUGGAAACGGAUGGUAAUACCCCAUAACAUAUAUUUUAGGCAUCUAAGAUAUAUCAAAGAAAUUCGCUCAAGGAUGGGCUCGCGUCUGAUUAGAUAGUUGGUGAGGUAACGGCUCACCAAGUCGACGAUCAGUAGCCGGACUGAGAGGUUGAACGGCCACAUUGGGACUGAGACACGGCCCAGACUCCUACGGGAGGCAGCAGUGGGGAAUAUUGCACAAUGGGGGAAACCCUGAUGCAGCGAUGCCGCGUGGAGGAAGAAGGUUUUCGGAUUGUAAACUCCUUUUAACAGGGACGAUAAUGACGGUACCUGAAGAAAAAGCUCCGGCUAACUACGUGCCAGCAGCCGCGGUAAUACGUAGGGAGCGAGCGUUGUCCGGAAUUACUGGGUGUAAA
rnacentral:rRNA from 1 species